rnacentral:rRNA from 1 species
UGGGGAAUAUUGCACAAUGGGCGCAAGCCUGAUGCAGCCAUGCCGCGUGUGUGAAGAAGGCCUUCGGGUUGUAAAGCACUUUCAGCGAGGAGGAAGGUGGUGAACUUAAUACGUUCAUCAAUUGACGUUACUCGCAGAAGAAGCACCGGCUAACUCCGUGCCAGCAGCCGCGGUAAUACGGAGGGUGCAAGCGUUAAUCGGAAUUACUGGGCGUAAAGCGCACGCAGGCGGUUUGUUAAGUCAGAUGUGAAAUCCCCGGGCUCAACCUGGGAACUGCAUUUGAAACUGGCAAGCUAGAGUCUCGUAGAGGGGGGUAGAAUUCCAGGUGUAGCGGUGAAAUGCGUAGAGAUCUGGAGGAAUACCGGUGGCGAAGGCGGCCCCCUGGANGAAGACUGACGCUCAGGUGCGAAAAGGCGUGGGGGAGCAAACAGGAUUAGNUACCCUGGUAGUCACGCUGUAAACGAUGUCGAUUUUGGA